CCCACCAAGCCUCUCAACGAUGCUCAAAUGAGCGGGU
rnacentral:sRNA from 1 species